GACGAACGCUGGCGGCGUGCCUAAUACAUGCAAGUCGAACGCAGUGGGGACGGGUGAGUAACACGUGGGUAACCUCCCCAUCAGAGGGGAUAACACUUGGAAACAGUUGCAAAACCGAUAAGGAGGGAUGGACCCGCGGUGCAUUAGCUAGUGGGGGAGGUCACGGUUCACCAAGGCCACGAUGCAUAGCCGACCUGAGAGGGGGAUCGGCCACACUGGGACUGAGACACGGCCCAGACUCCUACGGGAGGCAGAAGUAGGGAAUCUUCGGCAAUGGACGAAAGUCUGACCGAGCAACGCCGCGUGAGUGAAGAAGGUUUUCGGAUCGUAAAACUCUGUUGUUAGAGAAGCGGUAUCUAACCAGAAAGCCACGGCUAACUACGUGCCAGCAGCCGCGGUAAUAC
rnacentral:rRNA from 1 species